rnacentral:misc_RNA from 1 species
GUAGGUGAACCUGCGGAAGGAUCAUUAAAACUAGGGUCGCCUUUAGGCGGCCGGAUCAGAUUUAUUUUUUUCUUUUUUUUUUAGCAUGAUUUUUUUGGUUCCGGUUUUGUUUCGCAAGGUAGGCUUUUGAGAACAAAGGUUGGUUGACCCCUCUUUCGUUUCCAAGAAAAGAAAAUUAUAAAAAGGAAUGAAAAAAAAUAAAAUAAAUCCCCCACCGACGCACUUAUCGAAAGGACUUUUUAAACCAAACCUUUGACUAAAUUUUUCGACUGACCUUUACUUUUAACGAGUAAAAAAACUUUAUACAACUUUCAACAACGGAUCUCUUGGCUCUU